rnacentral:rRNA from 1 species
GAAACCAACAGGGAUUGCCCUAGUAACGGCGAGUGAAGCGGCAACAGCUCAAAUUUGAAAUCUGGCCCUCGGGUCCGAAUUGUAAUUUGUAGAGGAUGUUUUUGGUGCGGUAUCUUCCGAGUUCCUUGGAACAGGACGCCUUAGAGGGUGAGAGCCCCGUACGGUUGAAUGCCUAGCCUUUGUAAAACUCCUUCGACGAGUCGAGUAGUUUGGGAAUGCUGCUCUAAAUGGGAGGUAAAUUUCUUCUAAAGCUAAAUACCGGCCAGAGACCGAUAGCGCACAAGUAGAGUGAUCGAAAGAUGAAAAGCACUUUGAAAAGAGGGUUAAAUAGCACGUGAAAUUGUUGAAAGGGAAGGAUUCAUGACCAGACUUUUCCUAGGCGAAUCAUCCGGUGUUCUCACCGGUGCACUUCGUUUAGUUUAGGCCAGCAUCGAUUUUCGGGGUGGGAUAAAAGCUUUAGGAAUGUGGCUCCCUCGGGAGUGUUAUAGCCUAUUGUAUAAUACCGCCCCGGGGAUCGAGGUACGCGCUUCUGCAAGGAUGCUGGCGUAAUGGUUAUCAAUCACCCGUCUUGAAACACGGACCAAGGAGUCGAACAUUUGUGCAAGUGUUUGGGUGUUAAACCCUCACGCGUAAUGAAAGUGAACGGAGGUGAGAGCCCUUACGGGUGCAUCAUCGACCGAUCCUGAUGUCUUCGGAUGGAUUUGAGUAAGAGCAUAACUGUUCGGACCCGAAAGAUGGUGAACUAUGCGUGGAUAGGGUGAAGCCAGAGGAAACUCUGGUGGAGGCUCGCAGCGGUUCUGACGUGCAAAUCGAUCGUCAAAUCUGCGCAUGGGGGCGAAAGACUAAUCGAACC